CAGCCGCCGCGGGAAUACGAAGGGGGCUAGCGUUGUUCGGAAUUACUGGGCGUAAAGGGCGCGUAGGCGGCCAUUCAAGUUAGAUGUGAAAGCCCUGGGCUCGACCUAGGAAUUGCAUUUGAUACUGUUUGGCUUGAGUUUGGGAGAGGUGAGUGGAAUUCCCAGUGUAGAGGUGAAAUUCGUAGAUAUUGGGAAGAACACCAGUGGCGAAGGCGGCUCACUGGACCGACACUGACGCUGAGGCGCGAAAGCGUGGGGAGCAAACAGGAUUAGAUACCCCUGUAGUCCCUGUCUCUUAUAC
rnacentral:rRNA from 1 species